UGCCAUAUCAAUAAGCGGAGGAAAAGAAACCAACCGGGAUUGCCUUAGUAACGGCGAGUGAAGCGGCAAAAGCUCAAAUUUGAAAUCUGGUACCUUCGGUGCCCGAGUUGUAAUUUGGAGAGGGCAACUUUGGGGCCGUUCCUUGUCUAUGUUCCUUGGAACAGGACGUCAUAGAGGGUGAGAAUCCCGUGUGGCGAGGAGUGCGGUUCUUUGUAAAGUGCCUUCGAAGAGUCGAGUUGUUUGGGAAUGCAGCUCUAAGUGGGUGGUAAAUUCCAUCUAAAGCUAAAUAUUGGCGAGAGACCGAUAGCGAACAAGUACAGUGAUGGAAAGAUGAAAAGAACUUUGAAAAGAGAGUGAAAAAGUACGUGAAAUUGUUGAAAGGGAAGGGCAUUUGAUCAGACAUGGUGUUUUGUGCCCUCUGCUCCUUGUGGGUAGGGGAAUCUCGCAUUUCACUGGGCCAGCAUCAGUUUUGGUGGCAGGAUAAAUCCAUAGGAAUGUAGCUUGCCUCGGUAAGUAUUAUAGCCUGUGGGAAUACUGCCAGCUGGGACUGAGGACUGCGACGUAAGUCAAGGAUGCUGGCAUAAUGGUUAUAUGCCGCCCGUCUUGAACCGGGACCA
rnacentral:rRNA from 1 species